rnacentral:rRNA from 1 species
AUACGUAGGUGACAAGCGUUAUCCGGAUUUACUGGGCGUAAAGGGCGUGUAGGCGGUCUUGCAAGUCAGAAGUGAAAUUCCUGAGCUCAACUCGGGCGCUGCUUCUGAAACUGCAGGACUUGAGUGCUGGAGGGGAUAGCGGAAUUCCUAGUGGAGCGGUAAAAUGCGCAGAUAUUAGGAAGAACACCGGUGGCGAAGGCGGCUAUCUGCACAAUAAAUGACGCUGAGGCGCCAAAGCUGAGGGAGCAAACAGGAUUAGAUACCCUGGGAGUCCACGCCGUAAACGAUGAAUACUAGGUGAAGGGGGUAUCGACUCCCUCUGUGCCUCAGUUAACACAAUAAGUAUUCCGCCUGGGGAGUACGGCCGCAAGGUUGAAACUCAAAGGAAUUGACGGGG